rnacentral:tRNA from 36 species
GGUGACGUGUCCGAGUGGCUGAAGGAGCACGCCUGGAAAGUGUGUAAAGGGCAACCUUUCGAGAGUUCGAAUCUCUCCGUCACCGCCA